UCACCGCAAUGGUAAUUCAGCUUAGUACGAGAGGAACCGCUGAUUCAGAUUAAUUGGUUUUUGCGGCUGUCUGACAAGGCAGUCGCCGCGAAGCUACCAUCUGCUGGAUAAUGGCUGAACGCCUCUAAGUCAGAAUCCAUGCCAGAACGCGGCGAUUUCCUCCCACACAUCGUAGUCGGAUACGAAUAGGCCUAUGGCCCUGAAUCUUAGCUAGUUGGCAAUGGGACAGCGGGAGAAGUCCACUGUCUCAGCUGACGCCUUGCAAUUUUACCAUGCGUGGGGAUAAAACCUUUGCAUACGACUUAGUUAUAUCAGACGGUGCUGUAAAUAGUAGAGUAGUCUUGUUAUUACGAUCUAUUGAGGCUAAGCCGCGCUGAUUUAGUUUUGU
rnacentral:ncRNA from 1 species